UCAGUUGGAACCACCCUGACGCCCUGGAU
rnacentral:sRNA from 1 species